CUUGCCGCCCAGAGUCUGAGGCCACAUUUGAACUCAGGUGCUCCUGAUUCUACAUGGGGUGCUUUAUCCACCGUACCAGCCAGCUACCGUGGAGGAUCCAGUGUUUUACAAAAAGGAAAGCAGGGUUCACAGGCUGGCAAGUCAGAGGAGGGCUCUAAAUAGCAUUUGCUUAGAUUUCAGAAGAUUGUGGUUUGUUUGUCUCUUGGCUUUCCUUCUUGAAGAAGACCAAUGACAUCAAGGUGAUGUUUUGACUUGUGGGUAGAUCGAUUUUAAAUAAGGGAGGGCUGUGCAAAGUCUCUAGCUUCACUUUUUCCUCCAGAGCCAUCUAAGUGCAAUGGACAAGAUUUUACUGGAAAUGGGCCAGGAUACAAUGGGAGAACUUGGCCUUUUAAAGCUAAGGUCUUCCCCACGUCUCCGUUUGUCUGAAGAAGACCAAUUCAGUGAUUAAGGGUAGGUAAGAAUGAGCCAAAAAAUGGUCUCUUUUACCUACUUUAAAAAACCAGCCUGGGAGGGGACAAGGUAUUUGGCAGUCUCUUGUGUUGCAUUAGUGAUGAUGGGGCAUUAUGGGCUGAUAAUAGAGUCAUUUGGAAUUGGUUGAAUGACUAGACUCAAAAGAGCAGUCAUUAAUGGUCUGAUGUAAACAUGGAGGGAGAUACUAAUGGAAUUCUCUAGAUUUCUGUUCUUGGGCCUGUAUUGUUCAGCUUUUUUAUUAAUGAUCUGCAUGAAGACAUGAUAAUGGAUAAAUCAAAAGAAACUGGGAAGUAUAGCUAAUACUUUUCUAGGAUAAAAUAUGAACUACUGUGUUUAACUUCUAAAAUACUCUAUGAUCUGACCCCAACAUAUCUUUCUAGUUUAAUUAGUAGAUGCAAUAUUAUUGCUUCCCUUCCUGCAAUUCCAACAAAAUUGGUUUUCUCUCUUUUCCUCACAUGGAUCCCUUGAACUCCUCUGUCCAUGCAUUUUUACCGACCAUCCACUAUUCCUGCUUAUCUCAGCUUCAUGGAAUCCUCUCUCUCCUUAAAGAGAGCUCAAGCACCACCUUCUGCUUGAAGCCUUUCUAGAUCCCUCCAGGGAUUGGCACUCUAUCUCCUAAAACUGCCUUGUAUUUAAUGACUUUGUACAUAGUUGUAUUUGUUCACUGUACACUUAUUAUUUUUUAACUUUUUUGUUAUAUAGGAUAGCUUUCUGGGUGGUGACGUAGAAGGUAUGCAUUAGGAAAUGAAGUAACAACAAAUGAUAUCAAUAGAUACUAAAAACAAUAUUUAAAAACAUUUUAAAAGGACAAUUUGGGGGGGAAAGUAUAACAAUGGGCAAAAUCUUAGAAGAUAGUAACAUAAUACGAAUAAAUAUCCU